GAUGAAGAACGUAGCGAAAUGCGAUAAGUAAUGUGAAUUGCAGAAUUCAGUGAAUCAUCGAAUCUUUGAACGCACAUUGCGCCCGCCAGUAUUCUGGCGGGCAUGCCUGUCCGAGCGUCAUUUCAACCCUCGAACCCCUCCGGGGGGUCGGCGUUGGGGAUCGGCCCUGCCUCUUGGCGGUGGCCGUCUCCGAAAUACAGUGGCGGUCUCGCCGCAGCCUCUCCUGCGCAGUAGUUUGCACACUCGCAUCGGGAGCGCGGUGCGUCCACAGCCGUUAAACACCCAACUUCUGAAAUGUUGACCUCGGAUCAGGUAGGAAUACCCGCUGAACUUAAGCAUAUCAAUAAGCGGAGGA
rnacentral:misc_RNA from 1 species